AGUGAACGCUGGCGGUAGGCCUAACACAUGCAAGUCGAACGGCAGCACAGUAAGAGCUUGCUCUUACGGGUGGCGAGUGGCGGACGGGUGAGGAAUACAUCGGAAUCUACUUUUUCGUGGGGGAUAACGUAGGGAAACUUACGCUAAUACCGCAUACGACCUACGGGUGAAAGCAGGGGAUCUUCGGACCUUGCGCGAUUGAAUGAGCCGAUGUCGGAUUAGCUAGUUGGCGGGGUAAAGGCCCACCAAGGCGACGAUCCGUAGCUGGUCUGAGAGGAUGAUCAGCCACACUGGAACUGAGGCACGGUCCAGACUCCUACGGGAGGCAGCAGUGGGGAAUAUUGGACAAUGGGCGCAAGCCUGAUCCAGCCAUACCGCGUGGGUGAAGAAGGCCUUCGGGUUGUAAAGCCCUUUUGUUGGGAAAGAAAAGCAGCAGGUUAAUACCCCGCUGUUCUGACGGUACCCAAAGAAUAAGCACCGUCUAACUUCGUG
rnacentral:rRNA from 1 species